AUUGAACGCUGGCGGCAGGCUUAACACAUGCAAGUCGAGCGGGGGAAGGUAGCUUGCUACCGGACCUAGCGGCGGACGGGUGAGUAAUGCUUAGGAAUCUGCCUAUUAGUGGGGGACAACAUCUCGAAAGGGAUGCUAAUACCGCAUACGUCCUACGGGAUAAAGCAGGGGAUCUUCGGACCUUGCGCUAAUAGAUGAGCCUAAGUCGGAUUAGCUAGUUGGUGGGGUAAAGGCCUACCAAGGCGACGAUCUGUAGCGGGUCUGAGAGGAUGAUCCGCCACACUGGGACUGAGACACGGCCCAGACUCCUACGGGAGGCAGCAGUGGGGAAUAUUGGACAAUGGGGGGAACCCUGAUCCAGCCAUGCCGCGUGUGUGAAGAAGGCCUUAUGGUUGUAAAGCACUUUAAGCGAGGAGGAGGCUACUUUAGUUAAUACCUAGAGAUAGUGGACGUUACUCGCAGAAUAAGCACCGGCUAACUCUGUGCCAGCCGCCGCCGUAAGAC
rnacentral:rRNA from 1 species